GGGACACACUUUCCAAAGGUUAUCUGUGGAGCAGAUAUGUAUUGUGUAUGCACAUAUCUGCAUGGUAAUUUUCUUCUUUUCCUUAUUUUGCUGGAAAUAAUCUACUGAUGGCCAAUGCAGUCUGAACUAUUUGAAACCAAUCGAAGAAAUGUAUCUUUCCAUCACUGAGGAAGAGAAAAUUCUGGCACAAUUUCAGGGUAGAUACAGAAGCUUUAUGUCUCUUUAUUCAAAGUUACUGUAAUUGUGCUGGCACCAUUCCCAGAGCUAAGCUAAGGCUUAUGUGAAUUCAUAAACUGCAAUCAGAAAAGAAAGCUUUGUCAGAAAACAUUUGGCAUUUUGUACAAAGCUGUAUCUUUUCAUUCUGAGCUAGUGUCUUGGUUUGAAAAGACAGGAGUCUGUGAAGGAAGGCAAGGGCCUCCCGUGAAAUGGAAAAGGAAAAAGGAAACAAAAGCUUCUUCUUAUCUGAAAAAAAUACUGAGAGCCAGAAAAGUAUACUUAUACUCCCUUGUUUAUAUAAUUCUUGACUCCAGAUGAAUAAAUGGUAACUUGA